rnacentral:rRNA from 1 species
AGCGAACGCUGGCGGCAGGCCUAACACAUGCAAGUCGAGCGCCCAGCAAUGGGAGCGGCAGACGGGUGAGUAACGCGUGGGGAUGUGCCCAAUGGUGCGGAAUAACCCAGGGAAACUUGGAUUAAUACCGCAUGCGCCCUUCGGGGGAAAGAUUUAUCGCCAUUGGAUCAACCCGCGUCUGAUUAGCUAGUUGGUGAGGUAAAGGCUCACCAAGGCGACGAUCAGUAGCUGGUCUGAGAGGAUGAUCAGCCACACUGGGACUGAGACACGGCCCAGACUCCUACGGGAGGCAGCAGUGGGGAAUAUUGGACAAUGGGCGCAAGCUUGAUCCAGCCAUGCCGCGUGAGUGAUGAAGGCCUUAGGGUUGUAAAGCUCUUUUGGCGGGGAUGAUAAUGACCGUACCCGCAGAAUAAGCCACGGCUAAAUUCGUGCCAGCCGCCGCGGUAA